rnacentral:rRNA from 1 species
GGGGAAUUUUCCGCAAUGGGCGAAAGCCUGACGGAGCAAUACCGCGUGAGGGAGGAAGGCUCUUGGGUUGUAAACCUCUUUUCUCAGGGAAUAAGAACUGAAGGUACCUGAGGAAUCAGCAUCGGCUAACUCCGUGCCAGCAGCCGCGGUAAUACGGAGGAUGCAAGCGUUAUCCGGAAUGAUUGGGCGUAAAGCGUCCGCAGGUGGUUUAUCAAGUCUGCUGUCAAAGAGUUUGGCUCAACCAAAUAAAGGCAGUGGAAACUGACAGACUGGAGUGCGGUAAGGGCAGAGGGAAUUCCUGGUGUAGCGGUGAAAUGCGUAGAGAUCAGGAAGAACACCGGUGGCGAAAGCGCUCUGCUGGGCCGUAACUGACACUGAGGGACGAAAGCUAGGGGAGCGAAUGGGAUUAGAUACCCCAGNUAGUC